rnacentral:rRNA from 1 species
GGGUACGGGGUGUUAGGGCACGACACCGGAGAGGGAGCCUGAGAAACGGCUACCACAUCCAAGGAUGGCAGCAGGCGCGCAAAUUACCCAAUCCCGACACGGGGAGGUAGUGACAAUAAAUAACAAUACGGGGUUCUUUCGGAUCUCGUAAUUGGAAUGAGUACAAUUUAAAUCUCUUAACGAGGAACAAUUGGAGGGCAAGUCUGGUGCCAGCAGCCGCGGUAAUUCCAGCUCCAAUAGCGUAUAUUAAAGUUGUUGCAGUUAAAAAGCUCGUAGUUGAAUUUCGGGAUCAGUAGGCUGGUCGUGCCACCGGUACGUACUGGUCUNACUGAUUCCUCCUUCCUGAAGAACNGUAAUGCCAUUAAUUUGGUGUUGCGGGGAANCNGGACUGUUACUUUGAAAAAAUUAGAGUGUUUAAAGCAAGCUAACGCUUGAAUACAUUAGCAUGGAAUAAUGAAAUANGACGAUCGAUCCUAUUUUGUUGGUUUUCUAGGAUUGACGUANGAUNAAUAGGGAUAGUUGGGGGCAUUAGUAUUCAUUGUCNAGANGUGAAANUCUGNAUUUAUGANACUAACUACUGCGAAAGCAUUUGCCANGGAUGUUUUCAUNAUCAGAACGAAAGNUAGGNAUCGNANACGAUCANAUACGUCGUANUCUNACCAUAACUAUGC